CAAGCAGCGGAGCAUGUGGUUUAAUUCGAAGCAACGCGAAGAACCUUACCUAGACUUGACAUCUCCUGCAUUACUCUUAAUCGAGGAAGUCCCUUCGGGGACAGGAUGACAGGUGGUGCAUGGUUGUCGUCAGCUCGUGUCGUGAGAUGUUGGGUUAAGUCCCGCAACGAGCGCAACCCUUGAUCUUAGUUGCCAGCAUUCAGUUGGGCACUCUAAGGUGACUGCCGGUGACAAACCGGAGGAAGGUGGGGAUGAUGUCAAAUCAUCAUGCCCCUUAUGACCUGGGCUACACACGUGCUACAAUGGACGGUACAGAGGGCUGCGAACCCGCGAGGGGGAGCCAAUCCCAGAAAACCGUUCCCAGUUCGGAUUGCAGGCUGCAACUCGCCUGCAUGAAGCCGGAAUCGCUAGUAAUCGCGGAUCAGCAUGCCGCGGUGAAUACGUUCCCGGGUCUUGUACACACC
rnacentral:rRNA from 1 species